UUUGUCGUUCAUUGAGACAUCUGCUCUAGAUUCUACAAAUGUUGAAGCUGCUUUUCAGACAAUUCUAACAGAGAUAUACCGCAUUGUUUCUCAGAAGCAAAUGUCAGACAGACGUGAAAAUGACAUGUCUCCAAGCAACAAUGUGGUUCCUAUUCAUGUCCCACCCACCACUGAGAACAAGCCAAAGGUGCAGUGCUGUCAGAACAUCUAAGGCGCCUCUCUCCCCUAGACGGCUGUGUAUAGUCCAUUUCCCAGUGCUCAUGAUGUGUGGGGAGCACAGAAGGCAUUGCUAUAGUCAGUCAUCUUGUUUUUCUUUUGUAGUUAUUUGUUUUAGUGUAUUGGUUAUAAAGAUACUGUCUAUUUAUAAAUUGCUACUUUGUAUUUUAUGCAUGCUCUGUAUUUUGCCUAUUUUUUUUAGCUAUUGAUUUGGAGUAUAUUCUCAUCCUAAUAAACAGUUAUAGGGGGACAAUUUCCAGUGUUGUCAGAUUACAUUUUUCUUCUGAAUGCUUUGGAUGUAGCCAUGAAAAUCUUGCUUCUGAUGGGUGAGAAGAUAAGUCCUUGCAUUGCUGAGUAAGCUUGGAUUGGGGGCAACAGUCAGUUCAGGUAGACUUUAGAUCUGCAGUUCAGUUGUACUCUUGAGAAAAAUAUUUCUAAAAAUGGUGGUGACACAGUCUCUGUACUUUUUUUCUAACAGUGUCACUAGACACAGCAAAAGCUUCCAUCUCUACUAAAGUUUACAAUAAAUUUAUAAAACUAAGAAAAAGAAAUUAUGUAGUGAAUGAAA
rnacentral:lncRNA from 1 species